AUUGAACGCUGGCGGCAGGCCUAACACAUGCAAGUCGAGCGGAGCGGCGGACGGGUGAGUAAUGCCUAGGAAUCUGCCUGGUAGUGGGGGACAAAGUCCGGAAACGGGCCCCAAUACCGCAGACUAUCAGAUGAGCUUCGGUCGGAUUAGCUAGUUGGUGGGGUAAAGGCUUACCAAGGCUACGAUCCGUAACUGGCCUGAGAGGAUGAUCAGUCACACUGGAACUGAGACACGGUCCAGACUCCUACGGGAGGCAGCAGUGGGGAAUUUUGGGCAAUGGACGAAAGCCUGAUCCAGCCAUGCCGCGUGUGUGAAGAAGGUCUUCGGAUUGUAAAGCACUGUUGGUUGGGAAGCGUUACCUACCGAGUAAGCCACGGCUAACUUCGUGCCAGCAGCCGCGGUAAUUC
rnacentral:rRNA from 1 species